CCUACGGGUGGCAGCAGUGAGGAAUAUUGGUCAAUGGGCGGAAGCCUGAACCAGCCAAGUAGCGUGCAGGAUGACGGCCCUACGGGUUGUAAACUGCUUUUAUACGGGAAUAACGCGCCUUACGUGUAGGGCUUUGCAUGUAUCGUAUGAAUAAGGACCGGCUAAUUAUGUGCCAGCAGCCGCGGUAAUACGGAAGGUCUGGGCGUUAUCCGGAUUUAUUGGGUUUAAAGGGAGCGUAGGCGGCAUGUCAAGCGUGCUGUGAAAGGUCCGGGUGCAACCCGGGCCUUGCAGCGCGAACUGGCGUGCUUGAGUCCGCGGAGGGCAGGCGGAAUUCGUCGUGUAGCGGUGAAAUGCUUAGAUAUGACGAAGAACCCCGAUUGCGAAGGCAGCUUGCUGCAGCGGAACUGACGCUGAUGCUCGAAAGCGCGGGUAUCGAACAGGAUUAGAUACCCUUGUAGUC
rnacentral:rRNA from 1 species